UCAUCUAAUAAUUUCUUUUUACGGUGAAUUCCUAAACUUAACACACCAUUUGCCCUUCAUUUUCUAUACACACACACACACACCUUACAAAUUAAUAUAAGAAGGAAAAACGUACAUAAUCCUUGCAUUUUCAUCCCACAUAUGUUUUUCACAAGAAAUUACGAAGACAAUAAUAUUAGAACAGAAAGACAAUAAUAUCAUGAGAGUUUGAU